GAUGAACGCUGACAGAAUGCUUAACACAUGCAAGUCUAUGAGAAGAUCUACUUCGGUAGAAGGUAUCAUGGCGGACGGGUGAGUAACGCGUAAAGAACUUGCCUCUUAGACUGGGAUAACAGAUGGAAACGUCUGAUAAGACUAGAUAUAAUAGCGACAUGGCAUCAUGUUGUUAUGAAAGGCAACACUAAGAGAGAGCUUUGCGUCCUAUUAGUUAGUUGGUGAGGUAAUGGCUCACCAAGACGAUGAUAGGUAGCCGGCCUGAGAGGGUGAACGGCCACAAGGGGACUGAGAUACGGCCCUUACUCUUACGGAAGGCAGGCAGUGGGGAAUAUUGGACAAUGGAGGAAACUCUGAUCCAGCAAUUCUGUGUGCACGAUGAAGGUUUUCGGAUCGUAAAGUGCUUUCAGUGGGAAGAAGAAAGUGACGGUACCUACAGAAGAAGCGACGGCUAAAUACGUGCCAGCAGCCGCGGUAAGG
rnacentral:rRNA from 1 species